rnacentral:rRNA from 1 species
UACGUAGGGUGCAAGCGUUGUCCGGAAUUAUUGGGCGUAAAGAGCUCGUAGGCGGUUUGUUGCGUCGGCUGUGAAAUCCCGAGGCUCAACCUCGGGUCUGCAGUCGAUACGAGCAAACUAGAGUAUUGCAGGGGAGACUGGAAUUCCUGGUGUAGCGGUGAAAUGCGCAGAUAUCAGGAGGAAUACCGGUGGCGAAAGGCGGGC